rnacentral:rRNA from 1 species
AGCAGUCGCCACGGGAAUACAGAGGGUGCGAGCGUUAAUCGGAUUUACUGGGCGUAAAGCGUGCGUAGGCGGCUUCUUAAGUCGGAUGUGAAAUCCCUGAGCUUAACUUAGGAAUUGCAUUCGAUACUGGGAAGCUAGAGUAUGGGAGAGGAUGGUAGAAUUCCAGGUGUAGCGGUGAAAUGCGUAGAGAUCUGGAGGAAUACCGAUGGCGAAGGCAGCCAUCUGGCCUAAUACUGACGCUGAGGUACGAAAGCAUGGGGAGCAAACAGGAUUAGAUACCCGGGUAGUCCCUGUCUCUUAUAA